UACGUAGGGGGCAAGCCGUUGUCCGGAAUCAUUGGCGGUAAGAAGCGUGUAGGCGGCUCGGUAAGUCCGCUGGUGAAAGUCCAGGGCUCAACCCGUGGAAUGACCGGUGGAAACUGUCGAGCUACGAGUCCGGAAGAGGCGAGUGGAAUUCCUGGGUGUAGCGGUGAAAUGCGGCAGAGUAUCAAGGAGGAACACCCGUGGACGAAAGCGGCUCCUCGUGGGAGCGGUACUGACGCUGAGACGCGAAGCGUG
rnacentral:rRNA from 1 species